GUUCCCGGUGCGGCCGUGCCCUCCUGUGGCGCGGCCGGGAAGCUCAGGCGGCCGCCGCGCUGCUUCCCGCUCAGCCCGGCCGGAUCGGCCCCCGGAUCGGCCCCGGGGCGCGGGCCGCUGUCAGCACCGCUGCUGCUGCUGCUUUUCCUUCCUCCGUUUUUCCUUUUCAGGGUGGCUACGGGGCAAAGUGCCCCGUGAACUGACCCGGCCGACAACUACUUGAUCAAACCCCAGCAAAGGUGAAAGAUAUUGUUCUUCACUGAGAGGAUGAGAAGAUUUAGAUGGACUCCUAACAUGUGCUGAAAGGAAAGAAAGGCAGCAGAGGAGUGGGAGAAUGGGACCAUCCUGCACAGAUCCUUCCUGUGUACUUCAAACAUUAGAGAAUUCCUGUGUUUAGGAAGAAAAAGAAGAGAGCCUACCCACCAUCGCUGCACCCUGGUGCUUACAGCAUUACGCCAUGCAAGUAAUCGAGGGAUUAAGAGAUUGGCUGCAAUUUCACUAUAAGAAAUGCCCAAGGAAUCUCAAGACAAGACACUUAUCAUCCCAAUGGCAGUCAAACUCAAACAGAAACUCAGUUGAAAAAUACAUGGAUCUGCUUUUGUCAUUCUCACAUCACAAAUAUCAUUAAAUCACAGAAGACUGGACAUCUUCAUAACAAGAAAGAAUGCCUUACAAAAAGGGGGGAAAGAAUUAUGAACAAUCCUGCAUAUAUAAGAAUGCCUUUCAAGGAAGACUGAAUACUGAACAAACCCUUGCAGUCCUCGCAGUAAAGCUUCAUGUAUUGUACCUCCACUCAUGGACUGUCAGCAUUAUGCCUUGCCAAUUCACAAUUAACAUCUGCUGUGGCCAAAGAACCCAAUGCCAGAUGCAAACUGCUAAAGUCCGUUUCAGUUGUGGCACCAAAAGUGCAGAAAACAAUUUUCCACUGAGGGAGAAAGUUUCAGAACAUGCUCUACAGAAUGAUUCACUUAGGUCAUGCAUGGCAUUAUUUAGGUUUUUUUUUUUUUCUGUAGUUAUCUGAAAAAUAGGGAUAUGGAGUCACCUGGUGAGAAGGCUCCAGACUCUUGACGCUUUUGUCACCAUCACCUCAGUGGCCUGCCUUUGAGGCUUCAUCUUCACCAGACACCUUAAAUCAGUGAUGUUGUUUUGCCUAUGUCCUACCCAGAGGAAAGACUUUAACUCCAUUUGGCCUAUUUGGCUGUUCAUGAAGAAUUUUGUUAGGAUCACCUGCAAAGCUUUUUAGAUGGUGAUGUGUACACCUAAGAAUCAGAUGUAAUAAAAUAACCUGGAGAUCUCUGGUCAAAAUCAUCCUCAUAUCCAGUGAAUUAGGAGGUGAAUUUAAGGGUAACAAGAACCAGGCCCUCCAAAAUUGAAAUUCACUGUGGUAUCUGCAAGCUAAGCUGUGUGUGUGCAUACAAAAUUAACACUGUCUGUGAAAAUAAAUAGCCUUGGCAGCAACACUCCAGAGCUAGAGCGUAAUUGGCCUGCAUUUUACUCCCCUUUUUUUCCCUUGUAAUUUCUUUGUGCUGUGUUUUUUGUGUAAAGAAACCCUCAUUCGAGGGAUUUAUAGCCUUUUAGGGAGGAAAUUAAAGAUUCAGUGUCUCUCCAUCACUCACAAAGAGCAAGAUUUUAUUUUUUAAAUAUUGUUGUUAUUUGUGACUGCAGUUUAUCUGUGUAUCUUCAGACAGCAUUGGCUGUUCUUGCAUGAGAGUUUGAAAUACAGCAACUUGUGAGUGCAAUGGGAUGGACUUAAAAUAGGAAGCCUUUCUCUUCCCUCCAAGGCAUAUUAGAGCAUGGUGUUCACUGAACAUCAUGGAGACAGCCCAGAUUUGUACCUUCCCCCUCACACUUGUGUGGAUCAGCCUGAUGAAAGAUCCAGAUUUAGGUUCAUAGCAUUCCUUGCCCUGCUCCUCUUAACACUUGAUAAAAAUAAAACUCAGGCAACUGAUUAUGGAUAAUCCAACCCCACCCCCGCCCCCCAGACAUUACAUUGAAACUUCAAAAAAGCUUUUUCUAAAGGGGCCUUAAAGAGCAGGAUGAGAGGUUAUUCAUUACCUCCUGUGAACUGGACUGCGUUAAGGGCCUGGUCCUCAAAUAGAUGUGAUCCUGCAGGAGGGGGAAGGCCUGGGUCCCACAAUGGGCUCAGUGUGGCAGCCCCCCUUGCCUACACAGAAUCCCAUUGACAACAUUCAGACAAUCUCGCCCACUGAUGGGUGUUUAAAGGUCUACACUGGCCAUGAGGUUUCUUCCAAGAAUAGCUAUGGUUAUUCAUCCUAAAUGGCUCAGAAAGCCUGGAGAAAGCUCACAUAUUUUUGUUGAACAUGAUGCGCACAAACAUGAGCUCACAAGGCUUAGCUGCAGACUUGAAGAAGGAAAGAUCUUAAAGUGUAGGUUUGUUCUACGUGUUUAGAUCCAUUUUCUCAGAAAACCUUGAGAAUUAGUCCCGUCUCUGAAGAUUGCAGCAAAUGGAAACAAUGAGAAGUGCUAAAGCUAAAUCAACCCCUGGGUAAAUGACAUAAUCCUCCCCAGUGCCAAACCUUGUCUGAGGAAUUCCUCAGUUUUAUACUAACCUGCUGUAAUUCUUUUAGGUGUCCCUUAGCUCUCAUACCGCUCCCCCAGGCACAUGAAACCUGGAUAUUUUACUGGACUCAAGUGUUGGGACUGCACAGAGAUCUAAAAACCAUUUCAUAGGGAAAAGGAGCAGGUGUGUUAUGAAAACAAACCAAGACAAUUUUUCCGAUAUAAAUAGCUUACAGAUUGUCACUGUCUCUUUGCUGUAAAAGCUGUAUCAAAAAGAAAAGAAGAUAUCUGCUCUUCUGACCUUGUUCACCAUGGCUAAAUUUCGCUCCUAGUUAAUUUUGACUCAUCAUUCUGGGACAGCCAUCCAAUAUUUUACCAAUGGUUCUUGGUAAACCAAGAACCAUUCAUUUGAAAAAUGAAAUUAGCCAAAGAACCUUUCUUUGAUUUAAAAUCAAUUAGACUUGAAUCUGCUUGAUGCAGACUUAUACUUUCAAAAUAAUACAACUCUUUGGGCAUAUAUUUCUGUUUCAUACAGCAACAUCCCAAAAUACAACAGUGAUAAGGAUUUCUAGUAGCAGUACUCUUACAAGUUAAAUCUAAAAGCAGUUUUCCUGGAGACGCUCUGAAAAAUACCUAAGAAAGACCCUGAUGAAGUACAGAAUAACACCCUAGCCAAGACACAAAGAGAAUCGUUGCUUCUCUUCAAGAAGCCAUGCAGAGUGCAUUCAAAAUAUCUUUCAAAAAAUAUCAGUUUUGUGGCUUGAAUAAGUAUGCAAAAGGCUUUAGUGGUAGAUGCAAUGAAGUUAUGUUUAAGGAAUAUUAUGAUAAUCUGAAUAAUUUCAUAGAGAAUAGGGAGGAAAAGACCCUGAUACCUCAUGAAUAUAUUUGAGUUCAUUAACUAAACCAGUUAGCCCAUGGGAAACUUCACUUGAUUGUUGAAUUUCUGAAAGAUGUUAGAUAAGGUCUCUCACCACAGGAUGGAGAAGAAGCUAAACUGCCACAGAGCAAGAAGAAAGGCCUUUCCAUAGAGUAGGAAGAAAUACAGGUUUCUCUGUUGGAGAGCAUCAAAUGCUCUGGUUGAAUCUGGUUCUGGCAGCCACAUUAUUCAACAAAUUCCUGAAACUAUAGAAAGACAGGUGGGUAGUGAAGCAAUGAAAUUGUUGAGGAUUUUAAGAAUAAAGGAGAGCUGGUAAGAACUGCACUAACAUCAGAAGAUAGUAGCUGAAUAAAGAAACAGCAAGAUGAAACCUACAAGGAAUAGAGACAGGAAAACCAGACAUCAGUUGUAUAUUAUAUACAUGAUGGAGACUUCUAACCAUUCACAGCUACUCAGGAAAAAGAUUCUGAAGUUAAAAAUGUGUAUGAAUAUGUAUCAGUUAAGAAAGGCAGAUCAUAUUACAUAAAACAGGAGGAAAAAAGGAAAGAGUAAAAAGGAGAAUGCUCCACUGCUGCAGAUACGAAAUAGAUAUUUCUGUGCAGUUCUAAUUCUGCCCCACUUGAGAUGUUACAGAGGACCUAAAAAAGGUGUGGGAAAGGCAGCAAAGGUAAUGUGUGCUAAAGUACAGCUGCCACCUCAGGGAUGAUUAGGGAGGCAGAUUCUCCAGACCUGAUUACAGGGUGGUAUGUACAGGCUAAUAAAACCAUUAGUGACAAGAGUAAGGUAAAUAGAGAAAGAAAGAUCAUUUUAUGCCUUCUUAUCCAAGAACUAAAAAGCCAUCUAAAGAUAAAAGCAAGCAGCAGAUUCAGAUAAUCAAGGGGAAAUACUUUUUAAUUUAUCAUAUUCUUAAGCCAUAGGACUGUGCUAUGCCCAAAAAUACCUGUAUCACUUUGGAGUUCAAAUUUAUGGAGAUAAGCACCACCUUGGGUCCAGGUAAUCCCUGAGCAUGGGCAGCUGCAGCUGGAAGAGCCUGUCAGGGAAACAUCACUGUAUGUUUUCCUCUCCUAAAACACUCCUCCGGGCAUUUAUUUUUGACCAGUGUAGAACACUAAUAGAUUUGGCUUCUAUAUGUGAACUAAAACAAAAAAGCACCUUAUGAACUAGAGCUACAAGAGAUCUGGGACUUAAUGCUAUGAGCCAGCAUUUUAGAAC